AUUGAACGCUGGCGGCAGGCCUAACACAUGCAAGUCGAACGGUAACAGGAAGAAGCUUGCUUCUUUGCUGACGAGUGGCGGACGGGUGAGUAAUGUCUGGGAAACUGCCUGAUGGAGGGGGAUAACUACUGGAAACGGUAGCUAAUACCGCAUAACGUCGCAAGACCAAAAAGGGGGACCUUCGGGCCUCUUGCCAUCGGAUGUGCCCAGAUGGGAUUAGCUAGUAGGUGGGGUAACGGCUCACCUAGGCGACGAUCCCUAGCUGGUCUGAGAGGAUGACCAGCCACACGGGAACUGAAACACGGUCCAGCCUCCUAGGGGAGGCAGCGGGGGGGAAUAUUGCAAAAGGGGCGGAAGCCUGAGGCAGCCAGGCCGGGUGUAUGAAGAAGGCCUUCGGGUUGGAAAGUACUUUCAGGGGGGAGGAAGGGAGUAAAGUUAAUACCUUUGCUCAUUGACGUUACCCGCAAAAGAAGCACCGGCUAACUCCGU
rnacentral:rRNA from 1 species